GGGUCCGAUCAUACCAGCACUAAUGCUCCGGAUCCCAUCAGAACUCCGCAGUUAAGCAUAUUUGGGAGAGAGUAGAACUAGCAUGGGUGACCUCCUGAGAAGUCCUCGUGUUGCACCCC
rnacentral:rRNA from 1 species